GAUCAGCGAAGGAAUCGAUCUUUCUAGAAACGAAUGGAAGCAAACUGACAGCCAUGGCUACUGCUGGGGUCGUCCGCCCCCAACUCCUCUCCGCCGGAGCAGCCUCAACGCCCACCGCCACACCACCUCCACCUCCCCCUCCUCCCCAUCAUCUCCUCUCCUCCUACCCCGUCUCAUGCGACGCUGACAUCGGCAAGUACGCCGCCGGCGCCGUCCAUUGGUCGAGUCCGCAACGCCUCUCCUGCCCACUCCUCAGAUUCAGCAGACCCGCCGCCCAUCACGUCUCCCUCCUCCCCCUAGCCCAUCUUCUCCGAGGACCGCGUCGGCAAGUAUGCCGCUAGCGGCGUCUGCGCCUCGAGUCCGUGAGAACUCUUCUGCUUCCUCAUUUGAGGAUGUGAUGCAAGAGACAUGCCGCCCACCACCUCCCCUUCCUCCUCGCCGACCUCUUUUCAUAUGUGAUGGGCAUUCAAAAUUUGUCAUUCCAGCUUCCCCCGUCUGGAUGUUGUAUCAGUAACAGUUAGAGAAGUCUAACUGAAUUAUACUCAUUGUAGAUAGUUAUUUCCUUUUUCUAAUGCCUAUCAUACUGACUCCUACAUUCUUAGAUGCCUUUUUUUAUCUAUCAUGUCUACAGUUUUAAUGCAUUUUAUAGCUUGUUUCAUUCUAAUUUGUUUGCAGUUUGAAUGCAUUCUUUUGUAGCCAUGGAUGCCUUAUUUUUUCCUACAUAUGUAUAUCACAUGCCUGAAGAAGAAGAUGACAAGUACAUCACCUUGGCUGGGAGAGGUAUUGCCAGUGCCAUGGAUGCCUUAUUUCUUUGAACCGGUAUUUUCGCACUAGCAACUCUAUGUUGCUCUUUCUAGAGCUACAUGCAUAAGUAAUAUGAAAGAUUCUUUCUGUCCUGAAUAAGCAAAAGGAAGGCCAGUCCAACUCUGUUGCAAAUUUUACAAAUAACAUAGUCUACAAAGAAGUUCUCAAUGUGCAGUCCAAGGUAUGAACCACUCAACUACAAUUUGGUGGCUGUAGGAAAUCCGGUCUAUCUAACUAGGGUCAGUAAUGUGAAGUUGCUUUACCUCUACUGUUCUUAAGUAAGUUACAUGCUUCAGCGACCAUGAUAUUCAGGCCGCACUCCACUUUUUCUUUUGCAGAAACGUGGUUGAUGUAAGAAAGUUACAAGAGGUCCAGUACCGAUUUUUUUCUGUAUGUGUGCACUUGCCCCUUCCAUAUACACAUGAUUCAAAAGCAUCCUUUCAUGUACAUUUUGUUUUUUUAGUGACUGCUAAUGGAAUGGCUUGUUUUGUUUUCUAUAGCCGUUCCAAGGAAAGGAACAAUUUUAUUGCAGUAGUUGUUCUAAGGCUGGAUGUGAAAAUAUGUGUUGGCGAUCGCUGGUUGAGUUGGUGUUAUGGGCGAUCUGGCAUGAGCGCGGUCUUUACAUUUUCACAAUCCAGAGGCUAUAACACACUCUGGAAACUAUUUGUCAAUAUUUAACAAUGGCCGAUCACGCUUCCAGUAUUGCAGAUGUUACGCAAUACCGGGUCCGCUGACAGCAGCAUUUUGACCCAUCUGUGUCACCUGGCCCAACCGAAGAGCAACACCAACUUAUGAGAGGCCAUGAGCCCUCCCCUUCAAAAGACUAGCCUCUAAGGAGGGGACACCCCUGCCCUUAUAAGUCGUGUUAUGUCUCCCCACACAACUGAUGUGGGACUAAACCCAACAGGAGAUUGCUAUGCUUCAAGAUAAUGUUAUGUGGUUUGAUUAUUAUUUUGUUCAAUUCUUGCAAAGUGGUUUGAAAUGUCACAACAUUGAUUUAUUUGAGCUGUUAUUUAUCUUAAUCUUUUGCUGGUGGGAGGCAUGUUGCAUCAAACAUGGAGAUAUGACAGAUCCGCGGGAUGGGCUGGUGGCGGAUUAUGAUAUGUGCUAUAACAGAUUGAGCCCAUCGGACUAGAGUCGAAGGAUAAGUUGGUAGUCGCUACACUUCCAUUGCACAAAUUCAUGGGGGACAAACAUCGAUAUUAUCGCAUUUUAUUCUUCCAUUAUGUGUAUUAAUGUUAGGUUAAAGUGGGGUGCUUAAUGUGUUACCAUUUCUGAUAAA